UUUCAGUAGAGAAAAUAGCUAACUGACAAACAAGAGAAAACAGACGUUGCUUUGACUUGUGUUACUAUGCUUGCGGGUUUUACAUCUUUCUCAUUCCUUUCUCUUAUUUGGAAAUUUGCAAUAUUCUGUGUUUAUCAACCAUAAUAAAAUAGUAGCAUCUUUAAUUUUAUUUAAAAGAAAAGAGAAAUAAAAAGGAGGGCAAUGGUAGAAUUGUUGACCUGACCGGUAAGUAGAGAAAAGAAAGUGGUUUGGUGUAAUAAAGGAGGAGAAUGAGAUGUUCCACAGUUCAAGUUUUAAUAAUUGAUGUUAAUUGCUAGCCAAGUAGCCACCAUGUGUUUCCCUUGUCAGUGCCGUGCGAAGAUUUUCGGAGGCCCGAGGCGAGUUCAAAAAUAUAUUUUACAUGAUAUAUUUUAAUAAUAUAAAUAUAUAUAUAUAUAUAUAACACUCAAAAGUUUUGAAUUAUUACAUAAACGUUUUCUAAAUUUUCUUCACCAAAAUUUUAUAAAAUAAAAUUUUUAAAUCAUGAACAAAAAGUAUGAAUUUGUAAUAUAAAUACAAAGAUAUAAAUUUUUGAUUGAAAUGUUGGUAGCUGUCAAAAAUGUAACUUAGCAUUUAAAUUAACUAUAAUAAACUAUAUAUUGAAAAUAUUAUAUUUUUUUAAUAAAAUUCUCAUAGAUAUAUAAAAUAAAUAUAACUCAUAGCACAUAAAAGAAAAGACCAAUGUGAUCAAAUAUUUACAGUUUUUUAGAAGUAGAAUCUUUAUAGUUUUAUUUAAAAUAUAGCAAAAAUGAUCACAAAAAUAGUUACUUUAAACAGAAGUCUAAUUUAAAUUCAAAUAAAAAUAAAAAUCUAACUAAGAGAAUAUGUUAACUACCAUGUAAAAGUAUUUUUUUUUUGUAAUUUGGGGUCCUAAAAUUUCUAUAAAGUUUGGGGACCCUAGGCAAAUGCAUUUUUCAAAAGCCUCUAAGCACGGCUCUGUCCCUUGUAAUAUGUCUUAUAAAUCCCAAUAAAGUUAGAUAUAGCUGACCCCAUAAACAAAAAAAAAAAAUUAUAGAAUAGACACAGUUACGUACACAUGUGGUACAUACAGUUGGGUAUGUGGUAUAUGAGAUGUAUCCUGGUUCUGGUUUAGACAAAAAAACAACAGUAAAUGUUUCUUGGCUUUUCGUCAACCAAGAAAUAAUGUGGUUUUGGCUUAUGCUUCAGGAUUGUGUCAGUUCUGACGGCUACUUGGAUUGAUCCUGGGUGCGUCCAAAUCCUGUCCAUGAGUGGGAAUAAGAUCAUUUAAUCCGUAUGGCCAUGGUGCCCGAGCA